rnacentral:rRNA from 1 species
CGCUGACGAGUGGCGGACGGGUGAGUAAUGUCUGGGAAACUGCCUGAUGGAGGGGGAUAACUACUGGAAACGGUGGCUAAUACCGCAUAACGUCGCAAGACCAAAGAGGGGGACCUUCGGGCCUCUUGCCAUCAGAUGUGCCCAGAUGGGAUUAGCUUGUUGGUGAGGUAACGGCUCACCAAGGCGACGAUCCCUAGCUGGUCUGAGAGGAUGACCAGCCACACUGGAACUGAGACACGGUCCAGACUCCUACGGGAGGCAGCAGUGGGGAAUAUUGCACAAUGGGCGCAAGCCUGAUGCAGCCAUGCCGCGUGUAUGAAGAAGGCCUUCGGGUUGUAAAGUACUUUCAGCGGGGAGGAAGGUGUUGUGGUUAAUAACCGCAGCAAUUGACGUUACCCGCAGAAGAAGCACCGGCUAACUCCGUGCCAGCAGCCGCGGUAAUACGGAGGGUGCAAGCGUUAAUCGGAAUUACUGGGCGUAAAGCGCACGCAGGCGGUCUGUCAAGUCGGAUGUGAAAUCCCCGGGCUCAACCUGGGAACUGCAUUCGAA